GGCGCCCACAGGUGCGGGGCCCUCGGCUCCCGCCGGGUCCCCCCGGCUCCCCGCCCGCUUCCCUGGCCUGGACCCCUCGAGCAGUAGGAGGGAGACUCUGGGGCCGGGAGAGGGACCGUGCAGGAUCAGGGAAAGUAUUCCAAGGGUGCUGUGGCCCCUGGAGCAUGAGGAAUCUCUUGCCCACCUCCGCCUGCAGGUAUUUGCCAGACCCAUGGAUACAGAGGGCUGACUGUAUACCCAACGAAUAAAACCAGCCUAUUUCUGCUACCAUGUAGUAAGAUUUCCCAUUGUGAAUAUUAUGAUAAAGCUAAGGAAGCUCUGUGCCAGCUCUCACUCUAGCUUUUCAUAAAGCUGAUAUUUUAAAGCUCUUAUUGUUUGUAAAAUCUCAACACAUGCAAGAUUCUCCUGUAAAUGGCUGAAUAUCAGAGGGUACAUAAUUAGUUUAUUGACCCCCUCACUCCUCACACCAGAGCCUCAGUGUGACAAGCAGAGUUAUAAAAUAAUAAAGGCAGCGAAAACUCCUGAGGCCGCUCCAAGCUGGAAUAGCAUUCCACAGAAUUCCUCACCAUAAUAGGUUACAUGAUUGGAAGUGUUAGUGUUAUUGGCUUGCCCAAACACUCAUACUUGACCUUAAACUUCUGGUGCACCAUGCAUUUUAUUUGGAUGUAAAGUAAACAUGGAAGAGGUUCUCCGUAUUCCCUCCAUAAGCUACACACUGAGAUGCUGACCUCUUACUGGCUGUUAGGUGAUGCAGAUGGUUGUUUUUAAAACGGAGAUCAUUUUAAAACCUCACUUUAUGGACAGCAUUCCUUGCAGUCACCCCCAGUUUGAUAUGCUUGCCUUGGGCAGCUUUAUGGAAGUUCGUGAAAACAGAGCUACCAAACACCCCAUCAGUUAUAAAGUUUUUAUUAACGUUGUCCAGCCAGGCAUGACAAUAUCUAAUUAUGUUCUUAUCUAACCCAAUAUAGCUUGUCCAUAAAAGUGUCACGAGAGUCUUAGUCAUAUGUUCUGUUGCAGUCCAAAACUGCCAGGCCAGCCACACUUACCUAAUAGAGGUGAGUCUGGCAUGCAUUUCCUGGUGAAUCUGUGCCAACUUCAGCUUCCAGAGAUACCUGCUGCUUUUCUUGUGCAUUCUCUUGCCAGUCUUUUAAUAAUCUGGUCCACAUGAUUACUUUCAUUUGCAUGGAGGUGAUCUUUUCUUAUUUUCUGAUAGUUGACUUUCUUGCCUUUGGAGGAGAAAGGAGGGUGAGAAAGUGAAUAACCACUUGUAAUACAGUUGGAGAAAAGCUGAAUUUGACUUAUUGGAGCUAGACUUAGUGUUCUAGAAGAUUACAAGCAAGAUGGAGAUUGCAUUUCAUGGAGGAUCAAAUGACCAGAAAUUGGCCAGUCAACUUUCAAAAUUGCCAAAGGGGGGGAUGGAGGAGCAUCUAGAUAAAUGUGCACCAAGGAAGAUGGGAGAGGGGCAUGACACAGAGAGAGAAGCAGCAGAAGAAAGAGUGUCCGCAGAUAUCCUCACAUAAAAAUGACAAGGAUGGGGGGCUGAGGUUGACAUACACACACUACUGUGUAUAGGAUGGAUGGGUAACAAGGACCUACUCUAUAGCACAGGGCAGUCUACUGAAUACUGUCUAAUAUCCUAUAUUGGAAAAGAAUUUUAAAAGAAAUGGCUAUAUGUAUACAUAUGACCGAUUUACUAUGCUGUAUGUCUGAAACUAACACAACUUUGUAUGUCAAUUCUACUCCAAUAAAAUUUAUUUUAAAAAUUAAAAAAAAGGAACCCUCCUGCACUGUUGGUGGGCAUGUAAGCUUGUACAGCCACUAUAGAGAACAGUAUGGAGGUACCUUAGAAAACUAUACAUAGAACUACCAUAUGACCCAGCAAUUCCACUCUUGGGCAUAUAUCCGGACAAAACUUUCCUUUAAAAAGACACAUGCACCCUCAUGUUCAUUGCAGCACUAUUCACAACAGCCAAGACAUGGAAGCAACCUAAAUGUGCAUCGACAGAUGAAUGAAUUAAGAAGAUGUGGUAUAUAUACACAAUGGAAUACUACUCAGCCAUAAAAAAGAAUGAAAUCAUGCCAUUUACAGCAAUAUGGAUGGAACUAGAGACUCUCAUCCUGAGUGAAGUAAGUCAGAAAGAGAAAGACAAAUACCAUUUGAUAUCACUUAUAUCUGGAAUCUAAUAUAAGGCACAAAUGAACCUUUCCACAGAGAAGAAAAUCAUGGACUUGGAGAAUAGACUUGUGGUUGCCAAAGAGGAGGGGGAGGGAGUGGGAUGGAUUGGGUGCUUGGGGUUAAUAGAUACAGACUAUUGCUUUUGCAAUGGAUUAGCAAUAAGAUCCUGCUGUGUAGCACUGGGAACUAUGUCUAGUCACUUAUGAUGAAGCAUGAUAAUGUGAGAAAAAAGAAUGUAUAUAUAAAUAUGUGUGAAACUGGGUCACCAUGUUGUACAGUAGAAAAAAAUAAUGUAUUGGGGAAAUAAAAAAAUAAAAUUAAA
rnacentral:lncRNA from 1 species